rnacentral:rRNA from 1 species
GACGAACGCUGGCGGCGUGCUUAACACAUGCAAGUCGAACGGUGAAGCGCCUUCCUUUUUGGUGGGUGUGGAUGAGUGGCGAACGGGUGAGUAACACGUGCGUAACCUGCCCCCUUCUGCUGGAUAACGGCAUGAAAGUGUGGCUAAUACGGGAUAUUCUGGGUCUGCCGCAUGAUGGGUCUGGGAGAGAUAUUGUUUCGGAGGGGGAUGGGCUCGCGGCCUAUCAGCUUGUUGGUGGGGGGAUGGCCUACCAAGGCGGUGACGGGUAGCCGGCCUGAGAGAUCGGACGGUCACGCUGUGAGUGAGACACGGCCCAGACACGGACGGGAGGAAGGAGUGGGGAAUGUCGCUGAAUGGGCGCAUGCCUGAUGCAGCGACGCCGCGUGAGGGAUGGAGGCCUUCGGGUUGUGAACCUUUUUCGCCAGGGAAGCAGGCCUGCCUCGUUUGUGGGUGGGUGGACGGUAGCUAGAUAAGAAACGCGGGCUAACUACGU